CCUACGGGUGGCAGCAGUGAGGAAUAUUGGUCAAUGGGCGCGAGCCUGAACCAGCCAAGUCGCGUGAGGGAAGACGGUCCUAUGGAUUGUAAACUUCUUUUGUCGGGGAGCAAAGCGAACCACGUGUGGCUCAUUGAGUGUGUCCGAAGAAAAAGCGUAGGCUCACUCCGCGCUAGCAGCCGCGGUAAUACGGAGGAUUCAAGCGUUAUCCGGAUUUAUUGGGUUUAAAGGGUGCGUAGGCGGUCGGAUAAGUUAGAGGUGAAAUCCCGAGGCUCAACUUCGGAAUUGCCUCUGAUACUGUUCGGCUAGAGAGUAGUUGCGGUAGGCGGAAUGUAUGGUGUAGCGGUGAAAUGCUUAGAGAUCAUACAGAACACCGAUUGCGAAGGCAGGUGACCAAGCUACUACUGACGUUGAGGCACGAAAGCGUGGGGAGCAAACAGGAUUAGAUACCCCAGUAGUC
rnacentral:rRNA from 1 species